AUUACGUAGUACUGGCCCGUAGAUAUAGUUUAAACAAAACGUUAGAAUGUGGACCUAAAAACAGGAACUCACUCACUCCUUAUCUACCA
rnacentral:tRNA from 1 species